UAGGGAAUCUUCGGCAAUGGACGAAAGUCUGACCGAGCAACGCCGCGUGAGGGAAGAAGGUUUUCGGAUCGUAAAACUCUGUUGUUAGAGAAGAACAAGGACGUUAGUAACUGAACGUCCCCUGACGGUAUCUAACCAGAAAGCCACGGCUAACUACGUGCCAGCAGCCGCGGUAAUACGUAGGUGGCAAGCGUUGUCCGGAUUUAUUGGGCGUAAAGCGAGCGCAGGCGGUUUCUUAAGUCUGAUGUGAAAGCCCCCGGCUCAACCGGGGAGGGUCAUUGGAAACUGGGAGACUUGAGUGCAGAAGAGGAGAGUGGAAUUCCAUGUGUAGCGGUGAAAUGCGUAGAUAUAUGGAGGAACACCAGUGGCGAAGGCGGCUCUCUGGUCUGUAACUGACGCUGAGGCUCGAAAGCGUGGGGAGCAAACAGG
rnacentral:rRNA from 1 species